AUGUUCCAUAGAGAGGACCAUCCAGUCUGCCACACUCAGAGGGAAAUUCCAACUGCUCUGGAUGAGUCACUUCCCCUCGAUUACCCUUCUUCAAAGGCCUCCCUCCUUGUGAAAUGUGAGGCUUUAUCAGGCUGCCUGACAAAUGCCUGGCCAGCGGGGAUCAGAGGCAAACGCCACUGCAGUUUGGCCCUGUUGUCAGAGCGAGUCACUGGCUGGGAAGAUGAAUCUGUCCUGGGCCUCAAAGCCAGGGCCGUAGCAGCCUCUCUUCUGGGCACCGAGAAGGCAGUGCUGAGCCCAGGGCUGCACUGGGAGAGACAAGGAGGGGCCCGAGUGUCUCAACCUUGGAAGAAACCUGGACCUCAGACUCAGUGCCCCUCCCAGCUCUGGCUGCAGGCUGUAGACACUUCAUUGUCUCCUGCUGAGCGACUGAGGACUUGGGAGGAAAUCCUGCUUAGAACUUCAAACCUCCAUUCCCAGAGCCGCAACCAGACACUGGAGGGGCAAAGAAGGUGGCAUCAGGAGAUCAUGAGGAGGGUCUCCCCGGGCAUGGAUGGACCUCCUGCCUGGAGGGGCUCAGAUGCAUCGAACCUCUGCCCUAGGUGAGACUGUAAAGGUCAUCAAACCCAGCCACAUCAUCAUAGCUUCAUUCGACAGUCAUCGAAGACCUGCCUUGGGUGGUGAGGAUGGAGUGGUGAGCAAG
rnacentral:lncRNA from 13 species